CCCCAAAAAGUCAAAAUCCUAAAUCUAUAUCCAUAUCACAUGGUCCAUAUCCAUUAUUUAGUCCAUAGAUAUAUCAUAUAAUCCACCUAUUUCUUCCCAAAGUGCAAAUAUCGAAUAUGAACAGCAAACAAUCGAUUUUUCUUUUUUAUUCAUGAUACGUUGUUCGAAAAAAAAAAUUUUGACUCCACAGUUCGAACGGUUUGAGUCCGCCCCUG
rnacentral:lncRNA from 1 species